GGCUCAGAACGAACGCUGGCGGCGCGUCUUAAGCAUGCAAGUCGAACGGCAAGAGGUAGCAAUACCUCCUAGAGUGGCGGACUGGUGAGUAACACGUGGGUGACAUACCCUUCAGAUGGGGAUAGCUAUUAGAAAUAGUAGAUAAUACCGAAUACGAGCACAGGGGUUAGAGAUCUGUGAGGAAAGGAGCUAAGGCUCCGCUGAAGGAAUGGCCUGCGGCCCAUUAGCUAGUUGGUGAGGUAAGAGCCCACCAAGGCGAUGAUGGGUAUCCGGCCUUAGAGGGUGAACGGACACAUUGGGACUGAGAUACGGCCCAGACUCCUACGGGAGGCAGCAGCUAAGAAUAUUCCGCAAUGGACGAAAGUCUGACGGAGCGACGCCGCCGUGGAUGAAGAAGGCCGGAAGGUUGUAAAAUCCUUUUGAAACUGAAGAAUAAGCGUUGUAGGGAAUGACAGCGUGGUGACAGUAGGUUUUGAAUAAGCAACGGCUAAUUACGUGCCAGCCGCCGC
rnacentral:rRNA from 1 species